rnacentral:rRNA from 1 species
UACCAGCACCCCGAGUGGUCGGGACGUUUUAUUGGGCCUAAAGCAUCCGUAGCCGGUUCUACAAGUCUUCCGUUAAAUCCACCUGCUUAACAGAUGGGCUGCGGAAGAUACUAUGGAGCUAGGAGGCGGGAGAGGCAAGCGGUACUCGAUGGGUAGGGGUAAAAUCCGUUGAUCCAUUGAAGACCACCAGUGGCGAAGGCGGCUUGCCAGAACGCGCUCGACGGUG